rnacentral:rRNA from 1 species
UACGUAGGGUGCAAGCGUUAUCCGGAAUUAUUGGGCGUAAAGAGCUCGUAGGCGGUUUGUCGCGUCUGCUGUGAAAACUGGAGGCUCAACCUCCAGCCUGCAGUGGGUACGGGCAAACUAGAGUGCUGUAGGGGAGACUGGAAUUCCUGGUGUAGCGGUGAAAUGCGCAGAUAUCAGGAGGAACACCGAUGGCGAAGGCAGGUCUCUGGGCCACUACUGACGCUGAGAAGCGAAAGCAUGGGGAGCGAACAGG